AUGCAACCUUACUUUUCUGAAGAGGAGAUUUCAUUUGGAGACGAAGGAGGAGAAUAUUUCGUUAGCUAUUUCGUGGUCCAAUUUUAUUUCGAGAAUUUCCAACGUUUCUGAAUUCUUAUACAGGACUAUUCAUAUGGAUCAGCUGCAACGUGAUUAGGAUUUAUCAAAAAGGAUCAUGUCGAGCUAUAUAUGAGCCAAGAGGUACCGAGGGCAAAUUCUGAGGUGUUGGUUGAUAAAGAAUACAAGCAUCAACAAAAUUUUUAUUUUAAACCCCUUUUUCAUAUUGAAAUUGUGAGUGUGUUGUUGGAUUAUCCCAUUAAAUUCAUGUAAACUCGAUAAUAGGGAUGAACUAUAACUUUCAAAAAGUGUUUGUUACACGAUCCAA